rnacentral:rRNA from 1 species
GACGAACGCUGGCGGCGUGCUUAACACAUGCAAGUCGAACGGAAAGGCCCUGCUUUUGUGGGGUGCUCGAGUGGCGAACGGGUGAGUAACACGUGAGUAACCUGCCCUUGACUUUGGGAUAACUUCAGGAAACUGGGGCUAAUACCGGAUAGGAGCUCCUGCUGCAUGGUGGGGGUUGGAAAGUUUCGGCGGUUGGGGAUGGACUCGCGGCUUAUCAGCUUGUUGGUGGGGUAGUGGCUUACCAAGGCUUUGACGGGUAGCCGGCCUGAGAGGGUGACCGGCCACAUUGGGACUGAGAGACGGCCCAGACUCCUACGGGAGGCAGCAGUGGGGAAUAUUGCACAAUGGGCAAGCCUGAUGCAGCAACGCCGCGUGCGGGAUGACGGCCUUCGGGUUGUAAACCGCUUUCGCCUGUGACGAAGCGUGAGUGACGGUAAUGGGUAAAGAAGCACCGGCUAACUACGUG